GACCGCUGGCGGUAUGCCUAACACAUGCAAGUCGAACGGGCUCUUAGGAGCUAGUGGCGGACGGGUGAGUAACGCGUGAGAAUCUACCUUCAGGUCGGGGACAACAGAGGGAAACUUCUGCUAAUACCGGAUGUGCCGCAAGGUGAAAGAUUUAUUGCCUGAAGAAGAGCUCGCGUCUGAUUAGCUAGUUGGUAGAGUAAAAGCCUACCAAGGCGACGAUCAGUAGCUGGUCUGAGAGGAUGAGCAGCCACACUGGGACUGAGACACGGCCCAGACUCCUACGGGAGGCAGCAGUGGGGAAUUUUCCGCAAUGGGCGAAAGCCUGACGGAGCAAUACCGCGUGAGGGAGGAAGGCUCUUGGGUUGUAAACCUCUUUUCUCAGGGAAGAAGCAAUGACGGUACCUGAGGAAUAAGCAUCGGCUAACUCCGUGCCAGCAGCCGCGGUAAUACGGAGGAUGCAAGCGUUAUCCGGAAUUAUUGGGCGUAAAGCGUCCGCAGGUGGCUCGACAAGUCUGCUGUCAAAGACCGAAGCUCAACUUCGGGUAGGCGGUGGAAACUGUCAAGCUAGAGACCGGUAGGGGCUAGAGGGAAUUCACAGUGUAGCGGUGAAAUGCGUAGAUAU
rnacentral:rRNA from 1 species